GACGAACGCUGGCGGCGUGGAUUAGGCAUGCAAGUCGAACGGUAGGAUACCUUCGGGUAUCUGAGAGUGGCGAACGGGUGAGUAACACGUAGGUGAUCUACCCUCAAGAUUGGGACAACCCAGGGAAACUUGGGCUAAUACCGGAUGAAAGCAGCAGUGAUGUUGUUUGAAAGGUGGCGUAAGCUGCCGUUUGGGGAUGAGCCUGCGCUCUAUUAGUUAGUUGGCGGGGUAAAGGCCCACCAAGGCGAUGAUAGAUAGGCGGCCUUAACGGGUGGUCGCCCACACUGGGAUUGAGAUACGGCCCAGACUCCUACGGGAGGCAGCAGUCGAGAAUAGUCUACAAUGGCCGAAAGGCUGAUAGUGCGACGCCGCGUGAACGAAGAAGCCCUUCGGGUGUAAAGUUCUUUUAUAUGUGAGCAGUGCUUUCUAUGUGAACAGCAUGGGGAGAGAGAUAUUAGCAUAUGAAUAAGCAACGGCUAACUCCGUGCCAG
rnacentral:rRNA from 1 species